rnacentral:piRNA from 1 species
UGUUUUGUGAUGUAGGAUGUGGUCAAUGA